UUCGGGUGUCAGCGGCAGACGGGUGAGUAACGCGUGGGAAUCUACCCAAUUCUUCGGAACAACUGAGGGAAACUUCAGCUAAUACCGGAUGUGCCCUUCGGGGGAAAGAUUUAUCGGAAUUGGAUGAGCCCGCGUUGGAUUAGCUAGUUGGUGGGGUAAAGGCCUACCAAGGCGACGAUCCAUAGCUGGUCUGAGAGGAUGAUCAGCCACACUGGGACUGAGACACGGCCCAGACUCCUACGGGAGGCAGCAGUGGGGAAUAUUGGACAAUGGGCGCAAGCCUGAUCCAGCCAUGCCGCGUGAGUGAUGAAGGUCUUAGGA
rnacentral:rRNA from 1 species